rnacentral:rRNA from 1 species
GAAGUGGGUAGUCCGUAACGAGCGCAACCCCUCUCCCUCUUUGCUCNCAGUUCGGCUUGCUCACUCUCGGGCUCUGCCGGUGCCAAACCGGUCGGCAGGUGGGGCUGCCGUCAGGUCAUCAUGGCCCUUACGGCCAGGGCUNCACACGUGCUACAAUGGUGCGCACAGAGGGCUGCAAACCCGCGNGGGGGAGCCAAUCUCACAAAACGCAUCGUAGUCCGGAUCGCAGUCUGCAACUCGACUGCGUGAAGUCGGAAUCGCUAGUAAUCGUGAAUCAGAAUGUCACGGUGAAUACGUUCCCGGGCCUUGUACACACCGCCCGUCACACCAUGGGAGUGGAUUGCACCAGAAGUGGUUAGUCUACCUUCGGGAGGACGAUCACCACGGUGUGGUUCAUGACUGGGGUGAAGUCGUAACAAGGUAGCCGUAGGGGAACCUGCGGCUGGAUCACCUCCUU